rnacentral:tRNA from 1 species
GCCUAGCUGGCUUAGUUGGAAGAGCAUGAGAUCGUUGAUCUCAGGGUUGUGAGUUCAAGCCCCACAUGGGGUG